rnacentral:rRNA from 1 species
AACGAACGCUGGCGGCAGGCUUAACACAUGCAAGUCGAGCGCCCCGCAAGGGGAGCGGCAGACGGGUGAGUAACGCGUGGGAAUCUACCCAUCUCUACGGAAUAACUCAGGGAAACUUGUGCUAAUACCGUAUACGCCCUUUUGGGGAAAGAUUUAUCGGAGAUGGAUGAGCCCGCGUUGGAUUAGCUAGUUGGUGGGGUAAAGGCCUACCAAGGCGACGAUCCAUAGCUGGUCUGAGAGGAUGAUCAGCCACAUUGGGACUGAGACACGGCCCAAACUCCUACGGGAGGCAGCAGUGGGGAAUAUUGGACAAUGGGCGCAAGCUUGAUCCAUCCAUGCCGCGUGAGUGAUGAAGGCCCUAGGGUUGUAAAGCUCUUUCACCGGAGAAGAUAAUGACGGUAUCCGGAGAAGAAGCCCCGGCUAACUUCGUGCCAGCAGCCGCAGUAA